CAUACAUCCUCUUCCCUGGCAAUUUAAGUGUCUUCCCUAAUCCAAACUGAUCAUUGAGAUUCUCAUAGGCAUGAGAGACCAAGGCUAUAUAACAAAACAAAGAGAGGAAGACAGGCACGCCACUUCUUUGGCCACCUCCUAAUGAUAUGGCAUCUCCCACCUCAGUUCUUCUGGAUUACAUCUUUUCCAAAGCAUAGAGUGCUGUCCUCUGAAGAUGCCGGCCGCAGAGACUGGCGAAACGUUAGGAAGAACAACCUUCAGAACACAGCCAAAGAGCCCGAAAAACCCACAACAACCAUUUCCCAAAACUAUUUGAUUUUGCUUCUGUGUUAAGCCUAAUGUAAGAUGUGGGUGUUUACUUGCUACUCCUUUAAAUUUGUUCUGCAUAUUUGAAAUAUGAAACAAAUAUUAAUUCACAUAUUUUAUUAAGUCUUGCAAAGCUAUUGAAAAAUGUCAGUGUUUCCAUUGGUAAUAGAAAUAGAAAAACGUGCAUACACACAGUUGAUUUCAUCAUGUUAAUUUUGUCAAAAGUUAUAAAUCGGCUAUUGCUAAUCCAAACUAUUACCUGCCUACAUUGAAGUUCAUAGUAGCUGGAAUUAAUACAUGAAGAAAGAGUGCUAACACAUUAUACUUAUUGUUGCAUUAUGUGUGAAUGUUUUCUGUCAGUAACGCGGUAUCAAUUUCUUUUCCUACACAUUCUUUGAGUAUCAAGUAUGUCAGGAUUAUUAGUUCCAACCACAUAUUAGAAAAAUGUUUAUCCAUGCUAAUUAUAAAGGCAGCAGUUUGAAUAGAAACUGUAUGAAAGCCAGAAGCAAAAAUGGGAAUAAACCAAUGAUGCUUUAUUACA
rnacentral:lncRNA from 1 species